CAGAUAAUAAUUUAAAUUAAAAUAUUGACUUUGGGUGUCAAAAAUCAUUAUUAUGUUAUCUGA
rnacentral:tRNA from 1 species